rfam:Firmicutes bacterium CAG:194 genomic scaffold, scf67
UGAUGUCAGGGUCAAAAGGUCUAACCCCACAUGAGCUUGCUCAUAGGUGGGCGAAAGACCUUGGGACCCGCCCCGAUAUGAGCAUAAAAGUGGAGCGUAUGCUACACGAUAUGCGAAUAUUGGGUAGGAUUGUGGGAGUGCAAAGCACGGAACAAUCCGUAUGACAUCU